rnacentral:rRNA from 1 species
CCUACGGGAGGCAGCAGUGGGGGAUAUUGCACAAUGGGGGGAACCCUGAUGCAGCGACGCCGCGUGGGUGAAGGAGUGCUUCGGCAUGUAAAGCCCUAUCGGCAGGGAAGAAGCAAGACGGUACCUGACUAAGAAGCCCCGGCUAACUACGUGCCAGCAGCCGCGGUAAUACGUAGGGGGCGAGCGUUAUCCGGAUUCACUGGGUGUAAAGGGAGCGUAGACGGGCAAGCAAGCCAGGGGUGAAAGCCCGGGGCCCAACCCCGGGACUGCCGUUGGAACUGCAUGGCGGGAGUGCGGGAGGGGCAGGCGGAAUGCCUGGUGUAGCGGUGAAAUGCGGAGAUAUCAGGAGGAACACCGGCUGCGAAGGCGGCCUGCUGGACUGCGACUGACGUUGAGGCUCGAAAGCGUGGGGAGCGAACAGGAUUAGAUACCCGUGUAGUC